CGUCUCCUUUUACUGUACCGCACCUCCCCUGUAAAAAGUAGCGAUGGCAUCGGCGAAAACGCAUCCUCUUUUCCUCACAGCCCGCUCUCCACCGUGACGCUAGGGUUCCUAGCCGCCGCCGCGCGCACAGCCGGCCAGAGCCACCUCCACUCCGGCGCCCAUCGAUAGUCCUGCGAAAACGCAUCCUCUUUUCCUCACAGCCCGCUCUCCACCGUGACGCUAGGGUUCCUAGCCGCCGCCGCGUGGACAGCCGGCCAGAGCCACCUCCACUCCGGCGCCCAUCGAUAGUCCUCUUCGCCGUCGCCCGGAGCUGCUCCGCCCAUCUCUGUCCGUUCCCGAGUGGACUCGGCCCGCCCAGCAGCCCCUCCACGCCGGCCGGCCGGAGCUGCGCCGCCCACCACUGCAAAGGGGUGGGGGUAGGGGGGGCGUAGAGGAUGGGGGCAGUAACGUCACACGGUGGAGGUCGCUGGUCACCACCUGUGGCAAAGAUUUGCAGGGAGUGCAAGGUUGUUGUCGGAUGCUCAGGAAUGCAGCGGGAGUUUGCAUGUUCUCGGCUUCUUGUUCGGAGUUGUAUAGUGCCACCCCUGUCGACUCCACCGGCAGCGGGAUCCAGGUCCCCCCUGACCUCUUCCUUUGUCCUUGGUUGAUAAAAACACUAAGCAAUCCUCACAUUUCGAAAGUGCUUCAGGUCCAACUCCAGGAUAUUUGAUUCAGUAAUCAGCUUCAGUUCCAAGUUUCAGUGCUUCAGAAAUAUUGGUUUUGGUAAUCAGCUUGCCGAGAUGGUACCUGGACAUAAUUUACUUGCGUGCUAUAGCGUGUAGAAAAUUGUCUAGUUAAAUUGAUCAGUGUACAAUCUCUCGCUAAUAGCAUAUUUUCAGAGGCCACGCUAUUUUGUAUAGCACGCUAUUCAUUAGAUCUGUCUACUCCUGUAUUUUCAGUUACCUGUGUGACUGAAAAAAUACACUAUAUGUUACUAUGAUAUAUUUCUUAAGUUAUGUAUAGAACCUCUGCCUAUAUACUUGGAUCACCGGAUUGUUAUGCAUCAAAACUACAGAAUUACUACUUACCAUUGUAGUGUCGUGUUCUGUGUAUACCAAUAUCUCUACCACUAUAAUACACCAUUCUUGAAUUUGGAUUCACCACCUACUUGCUUUUUAGUCUGCUCGAGGUCGGCCAUGGUGGUCCGGCCCGACCAAUGGAUGGAUGGGGAUGAAACCCUAGCCCAACACCCACACAUGGAUGGAUGGGAUGGGGCGACGACGACGGCGGCAGCGGCCUUCUCUCGGUGCUUGCUGAUGUGGUGGCCAUCGACACCGGCAACGAGUUGCAGCACAUAGACAUCAAAGGCUGCGGGUGUGACGGAGGAGCACCAUGGCGGGCGUGCAGGCCAUGGCUCUCUAUGUUAAGGGAGCAUUCCUCAAUUUUUUUGGGGUUCAACGGAACAGCAGGAGUGUGGAGAAUUAAGGCACUCGAGGACUCUGGAAUAUGGAUGGAGAGAACAACAGUUGAAGACAUGGAUAUUGCUGUCCGAGCACAUAUAAAGGGAUGGAAAUUUCUGUUAUGGUUGAUGACUUUUCUGUAUGGCAUUCAUACCUUUACUGAUCAUUCAAACUGUGCUACACGAAUUUCCAUUCAGUGUUAGUGUGAAUUGCUGGAGUCAUACGAAGUUUACAGAAAACAGCAAAAUAGAUGGCAUUCUGGUCCAGUGCAGUUGUUUAGACUCUGCUUUCUGGACAUCAUCAAAUCAAAGGUAUUAAUGUAGGCAUAUUUUGAAAGGUGAAUUUUAUUUUCCGGGGAAAAAAUUGGACGCCUUCCUUGACGCUCUCCUUGAGCUUGUACUCCUCCUUGAGGAGCUCGACCAGCUUGGGCAGCAGGGAGCCCAUGGCGCCGGUUGCCAUACUCAUGGCCAUGGCUUGUUGAUUAGUAUAGUAGCUUUGUUGUUUGCUUGAGGAGUGUAUAGCAAUUGUUGUACGUUUAGGUGCUACAACGCUGUUCUUUAUAGGAGCCGAGCAAGUUCACAUCAACACAUUAAGGUUAUGGAGUAGACAAGGAUAAUCAAGUAUAGUUUGAUUAGUAUGACAAGUCAUGUCAGCAGGAUGAAUAUUUACAAGAUUGAUUAUCUCCCAGGAAGACAAAUAGGAAGUAUGUUUGCAAGUUUUCAUCACUAAAUUAUACAAUUAUAUAAACUGUGUUCUACUUGAAGUUUGGUCAGUUAAAAUCAUGUUGACUCGCCUACUGUUUAAUGGUUCUAUUUUGAUCAUAUAAUUAGGUUUACAUCUUGACUCGCUUGAUUUGAUAAAUUCCAUUCUUACCAAGGGUCAUCAUUUGUGUAUUUCCUCUUUGGAGGGUGAUCUCGUCGCCCACGGAUAAGCAAUCCAAGGAGAAGAGAGUAGGGUCUGCGCCCAACUUGACUCCCUAUAAAAGGAGGGGAGGUGGUUGCGAGCAUGCCAUCAGCGUUGGGUCGAUGGUGUUGUGCCUCGGCAGCCGGGAUCAUGCAAUGCAGAUGGGAAGCAGCAGUGCCGCCUCUCCCCCCGAGCUCCAGAUACAUGAUAGCAGCAUCGAGGAGGAGAAAAACUACAUUCAGAGGUUACAGAAUGGCAAUGGGUGGCAUGGUUAGUGAUCACUAGGCCAUGAAUCUCAUGGAUCCCAUGAUACAGGUAUCUGGUCCAGAUCCGACGGAGCCAAGCAAAAUCAUGCUGCUGCUUCUUCUUUCGAUUGAAAAUCCAGGUGAAACCUUUCAAGAACUCACGACGACACGCAAUGAUUAUAUUUCAUUGUGAUGGCCGCUGCCGACACAGCUACUAUGGGUACACGCAACUUCUAUUUCGCUCGUCACCGGAAACCACCGCCCAGAUCCAUCUCUUCUCAACCAUGCCGACGUGGUGGUCAGGGGCGCUUACAACUUGUGAGGACCUGCGUUCUCGCUGUUGAUCCGUGAUGGCAUGGCCUCCCCGCGCCCUAGCCGUGUUCUAGCUGAUGGUUUGGGUCUGCCAGCGGAGGGAGAGGGGGACGACCUCUGUCGCUCCUUCUUUCUAGCCUCUUUAUCUUGAUGAAGCCGUAGGAGUAGAGGGGCACACGCGUGAUGGAUCUGCUCCAAGCACCUCAAGCCACGCAUCUUCAAGGUGAUCACUUCAUCCACAUUCAAUGUCAGUUCCCGCGUUUACUCCUUUUUUGGGGUGGAUGGAUGCGUGAUACUCUGAUAGUAGCAGGCAGCUGUAGUACAUACUGCAAAUUGGCACGCUGAAACUAGCCUGCAAUUUUCUCAGAAACUAGCCUGCAAUUUUCUCAGAAAUUUUUAUGUCACAUGCCAGUGGAGUGGAUUAUAACAUUUCAGUGGAACAAAUUGUAGGUAUUUCUUGUUUGCUUCUCAAAGAAAAGGAUGUUAUAUUAACUUGA